CGCAGGUGUCCUAAGAUGAGCU
rnacentral:snRNA from 1 species